rnacentral:lncRNA from 1 species
AUGUACUUCUGGAACCUAACCUAUAGAGACAUUGUUUUAUCGCAAGCUACAAUUGAAAUUUUGUGAAAUUUCUCUUUAAGUUUAACUCUUUAAGUUCUUUACUACAGAGAAUGUCCACUAAAGUCCGCAGAUUUGAUUCUCAUGUACCUAUUGCCAACCAAAUGUAUUGGUUUUUCUCUUUAUAGGAGUGCCUCACAAAAUGGCAGCUUUUGGUUUGAAGCAGUUAUUGGAUGAUAUUGGAUGCAGGUUUCUAACAUGAAAUUCGAUAGAUAGUUAUUUUUGUAGUUUCAAAGAUGUUUGGUUUCUUUUUCCUUUUUCUGUGAUGGUCAAAGGAAUAAAAUGUUAUUAACAGUGAAAAUGUAAAACCCUAAAUAAAGAUUCAAGGCUAUACAACAGUGACUUUAAAGUUGUACAGAAAUUUAUUGAGAAAUGUAGAAGUUGAGAUUGACCAAGUGCUAUUUUGAAUGGCUACUUUAACAUAGCGGUGUGAUAUUUUUCCUUGUAUGUUCACUACUUUCAAAUAAUUUAUAUGUUUAAAAUAACUUUA